GAUGAACGCUGGCGGCGUGCCUAAUACAUGCAAGUCGAGCGAACAGAUGAGGAGCUUGCUCCUCUGACGUUAGCGGCGGACGGGUGAGUAACACGUGGAUAACCUACCUAUAAGACUGGGAUAACUUCGGGAAACCGGAGCUAAUACCGGAUAAUAUAUUGAACCGCAUGGUUCAAUAGUGAAAGACGGUUUUGCUGUCACUUAUAGAUGGAUCCGCGCCGCAUUAGCUAGUUGGUAAGGUAACGGCUUACCAAGGCAACGAUGCGUAGCCGACCUGAGAGGGUGAUCGGCCACACUGGAACUGAGACACGGUCCAGACUCCUACGGGAGGCAGCAGUAGGGAAUCUUCCGCAAUGGGCGAAAGCCUGACGGAGCAACGCCGCGUGAGUGAUGAAGGUCUUCGGAUCGUAAACCUCUGUUAUUAGGGAAGAACAAAUGUGCAAGUAACUAUGCACGUCUUGACGGUACCUAAUCAGAAAGCCACGGCUAACUACGUG
rnacentral:rRNA from 1 species